rnacentral:lncRNA from 1 species
UUGAUUUUUUUUUUUUUUUUUUUUUGUGGUAAGAGGGCGGGCGUAGGCCCUUGACAAGGGACAAUGUAAGGGUAAACUUCGAAGUGUUCAUGGUUUGUUAGGAAACAUUUAUAAAUUAAACCGCAUAUAAAGUCAUUAAUUGUCUAUCUUGCGAGACCAUUUUAAGAUGAGUACAUUCAAGGAAAAAUCAUUCAAAACGUCACUUACAUUUUAUCAAAUAAAAUUUUUCAUUAUUCACUUUUAAAAUGAUAACUUGACGUUUCUUACAAAAUCAAAUUGACAAAUUUUUGUUCCUACCUAGAUUUUUGAUUAUUUUUUACGUUGAAUCCAUCAUGUAACUGACACAUAUUUUUUUUUAAGGGCAAAAAGAUUAUAUCUCAUUUAUCAUUAAACCAACAAUUCAAUCCAUAUUCAUUUUUAUCCCUAAAAAAAGGGUCUAAGUCGAAUCAUAUUUUUUUUCCCUCUUAUUUCCACUUCCAAGUGUUCUGAUUCUAUCACUUGCCGUGACUAGGCUUGUUAAAUGGUUCUUAAUAUAUGCGUGCAAAUUUCAUAAGCAUUGUACCCUUGAUGAGGGAUGGAUUGAGGUUUUUGCGAGCUCGAGCUCGAGUUUCGAGCUCGAUGAGCUCGGCUCGAUUUUAAACUCGAGUUCGAGCUCGAGCUCGAGUUUUCUACUAGUAUAUCGAGUCGAUCUCAAAUGCCUUGUAAAGCUCGAAUUACUAAUCGAGCGAGCUCGAGCUAGCUCGAUUAGAGGUUCGAGUCGAGCUCGAUUGUCCUAUGCUCGAGCUCGACUCGACUCGUUUAACAGGUCUAUUUAACUGCCGUGGAACAAACCCAUGGCUUUUUCUCUUUUUUUUUUUUUGAAGGCAAUAAAAGAAAACUAUCCAAAUCGUUUUCUUUUUCUUUCUUUCUUUUUUUUUCUAAUACAUUUGUUUUUUAUUUUAAAAAAUCUAUCUGACUCACAUAAUAUUAGUCAGAUUUUGUCAUAUUUUUCCAUUUAAUUUGCUUUUCUCACAAAAAGUUAGAUCGAAGGUUCACUAGUACUUCAUUUAUAUGAGUUGAGCAGGUAAUUUAAAAUAAAAAUUAGUUAAAUGACAAAAAGUAUAAUUUAAAUAGUACGUCACUUUUUGUCAUGUGAUGUGAUGGAUGUGAUAAAAGAGAAGAUAUGAUUAGAAAGAUUAAACAAAAAGUAAUUAAAAAAUGAGUUUAUUAAGCAAUGAAAAAGAUUCAUUUUUGUAUGAUUACUUAGCCAAAUUGAAGUGUUUACUCUUUUAUGUUUAACCAUUUUUCUAUUGAUAUAAAAAGGCUUGUAAAUUUGCUCUUUUUUUUUUUUUUUUUUGUGGUAAGAGGGCGGGCGUAGGCCCUUGACAAGGGACAAUGUAAGGGUAAACUUCGAAGUGUUCAUGGUUUGUUAGGAAACAUUUAUAAAUUAAACCGCAUAUAAACUCAUUAAUUGUCUAUCUUGCGAGACCAUUUUAAGAUGAGUACAUUUAAGGAAAAAUCAUUCAAAACGUCACUUACAUUUUAUCAAAUAAAAUUUUUUAUUAUUUACUUUUAAAAUGAUAACUUGACGUUUCUUACAAAAUUAAAUUGAUAAAUUUUUGUUCCAACCUAGAUUUUUGAUGAUUUUUUACGUUGAAUCCAUCAUGUAACUGACACAUAUUUAUUUUUUUUUAAGGGCAAAAAGAUUAUAUCUCAUUUAUAGUUAAACCAACAAUUCAAUCCAUAUUCAUUUUUAUCCCUAAAAAAGGAUCUAAGCCGAAUCAUAUUUAUUUUUUCCCCAAAAGAAGUGGCAUAUGAUCCAAUCCACAUUUAUUUUUGUAACUAAAAAAAAGUGAGAUUUGAUCUUUUUUUUUAUAUAUAAAAAAUAAUUGUAUACGAGUCACGUGGUGAUUUCAAACUAAAAAGUAAUUGAAAAUUUAGGUUGAAACCAAAUUUUAGUAAUUUGAAUUUGUAAGGAACCUAAAGUUAACGUUUUAAAAAGUAAAGAACCAAAAAAUUCAUUUAACAAAAUAUGAGAAAUAUUUGAAAUAAUUUUCCCUACAUUUGAUCAUUACUUAUCCAAAAGAAAUUAGAAGCAGGACAUUUUAUUUGAUGUAGUUUAGUUACAAAGAAUAUGUUGGUUUUGAUCGUUAUUUUAUUUUGGAGUGAUUGCUUGGAUUGUUACCUUAAAAUGAAGGGGAAGAUGGGAAAAAAGGUUCAAGAAACGAAAAACUGCACCUUUGGAUCCACGGUAGGUAGUUUUCCUUUGCAAAAUGACAUUUACUUGCUCAGUGUCUGAUGACUUAGCUUCAAAUUCGGUUCGCCAGAUUCUUCUUUCAGAAAAGCUGCAGGAUGGUACGCGAGCAGGACGAAUAUGGCUACUGCUAUCAAUCCAACUUUCAUCGGGUUUAAAGUAGCCAUUGAAUUACAAUUAAUUAUUGACACAGUAGCUAUUUCGCGUAAGUGAAACAUUGUAGAACGUAAUACAAAGCCCCCCAGCUAAGCCAUGAGAGGAGGAAGGACGAUAACUUGGAAUGUAAGGAUUACAAGAAUGAAAACAGUCAUCGUCUCCAUUUUAUUUUUCCAAAGUGCUGAUUUUCUGGAGCAGAGGAAAGACAAUCCAGGGCACUCUGAGCAUCGUCGCCGGCGGUCUCAAAAAUCUGUCAGGCAUUCCAGUGCCGCUCCAGCGCUUUGCCGCCACCACCACGUUCUUGAAAAAACCACCGGUCUUGGCGCUGACCGCUAUAUAUCACUGUCCUCCGAGCGAAGGGAAGGUUCAGUGGAAGGAAGAACUUGAAAGUAGUCGAGGAGAACGGCUUUUGGUCUAAUGACUAAAAUUGAAAGUUAAAAACUUACAAAUCAAAUCCCCUUUCUCCAUCCUUAGCUUCUUAAAUCUACUCAUUUCCCACUGCUUAGAAAAAAAGAAAAAGAAAAGAAUGAAACACUUGAAAGCCAUCGUCUCUUCUCGUCUUGUCUAGUGCUAAACUGCUAAUGCCAAAAGAAGCAAGCUAAUCAGACGACUAACGCACAAGGAAUAAUUGGGAUCGCUGGAAACGACGUAGCAGCAAUUUCAGGAACCGUGCGCGAGGCUAUGACUGGAGCAAAUACCUCCCAUUUUCUCAUCUGCGUUGCCGAAACAGAAAUACAGAGUCAUAUACAUUUAAAUUAUUAUUGACUUGCGUAGUAGGAGUACUAGAUAGAUAGAAUGGUGGCCUCUGUCUGGUUUUUUUUUUUUUACCAGGAGGUUACUUUUAAGGAGAGAUUUGGCAGAAAGAAGCGCUUUUCAUCCGACUUGAGUGAGUUACCACUACCAAAAGAAGUUCUUAUCCGUGAGAUGUUACUGAAUAGCGUAAUUACACACUCUGAUUUUAGGCCUGACCCAUCCUUUGUUUUAUUUUAUCGACUGACAAUACGCCCUCUAGGACGCCUGUGAGGAUCUGGAUCUUCUGCAGUCACAGUUGUGAUUGGAAACAACAGUUUAUGUUGUGGAUCGCGUCAUUUUGAAAUGGAUGGCUGUGAUUUGAUUUAUUUAUGAAUACAAAAUCAACAAUAGUUGUCGUGGUUUUGCAUGUUAUUGUUCUAAUAUCUAGAGGUUAGUUAGUUUAGUGUCUAUAUUUAUUGUAUGACAACAACCGCGGAAACCCUUGAUCCUGUGUAGUAGACCGAGCAGAACGAAGCAUUGAACGGGAAAGAUCCGAAAAGCUGAAAAUGCGAGUAUGUCAGCAGUGAAUUUUGACCUCCCUGUCUCAGAAUCAGAGCAAACUAGGGGGGUAAAAAAAAAAAAAAGAGCAGCACCCACGUUAAGCCUGAAGUCAGGCAAGAUUGCCAUCGUUGCAGAUGAGGUCCAACCAAUUAAAGCAGCAAAAGAAAGCUUGCCAAUUAGAUAGCAGAUUCAUUUGAGCUCUAUAGUUCCUCGAUGUGUAUUCAACAUGGUGCGGCUUUCAAAUGCGUUCUAUACAACGGGGAGCAUAUGAUCAUAAUUAACAUGCCGAGAAACUUCAGCUACAGUAGGCAAAUAAAAUGACAAAAAGGAGAAAGAAAAGACAAAAGGGAAAGAAAAUCUUUUAAGACUUCUAGUUUCUAGUACAACAGUAACAAUGAAUAUUUACACUCUCAUCCAACAUGUAGAGAAUGACCACCAAACAGGGGGAAAACUGAUAAUGCUUCUCUACAAGGGAUGAAAGAAGGCACCAAUUUCCAUCCCUUCAAUUAAAAAGAGUUAAACUGAAUUUUUCCAUUUCGAAUAAUCUCACCACACAAAGCAUGACAUGUUAAAACAACAGCUUGACCUAAAAGUAAGCUCUCAAU